rnacentral:rRNA from 1 species
GACGAACCUGACGAACGUUAUUCGGAAUCACUGGGCUUAAAGGGUGCGUAGGUCUGUGCAGAAAGUUGGGUGUGAAUCCCUCGGCUUAACCGAGGAACUGCCGCUCAAAACUACUGUGCUUGAGUGAGAUAGAGGUGAGCGGAACUUAGGGUGGAGCGGAUGAAUGACGUUGAUAUCCUAAGGAACACCGGUGGCGAAGGCGGCUUCCUGGACCGAUACUGACGCUGAGGCGCGAAAGCUAGGGGAGCAAACGGG